rnacentral:rRNA from 1 species
GAUACAGGUGCUGCAUGGCUGUCGUCAGCUCGUGUCGUGAGAUGUUGGGUUAAGUCCCGCAACGAGCGCAACCCUUUUCCUUAUUUGCCAGCACUUCGGGUGGGAACUUUAAGGAUACUGCCAGUGACAAACUGGAGGAAGGCGGGGACGACGUCAAGUCAUCAUGGCCCUUACGGCCAGGGCUACACACGUGCUACAAUGGUCGGUACAAAGGGUUGCUACACAGCGAUGUGAU